GACAAAGGUGAUUCCCUCUCCAAGGGGCCUAAUAGUCCUCUUCUCAGGAUAGGGGCAACAUGGAAUAAAAUCUGGCCUGCCUCAGGUCUUCAGAGAAGAAGGCGAUGCAUAAUUUCCAUUGCCUUUCUUUGGCUGUCUACAUGU
ensembl:snoRNA small nucleolar RNA SNORA67